ACUGCGAGUGAAGCGGGAAAAGCUCAAAUUUAAAAUCUGGCAGUCUUUGAUUGUCCGAGUUGUAAUCUGGAGAAGUGCUUUCCGCGCUGGACCGUGUACAAGUCUCUUGGAAUAGAGCGUCAUAGAGGGUGAGAAUCCCGUCUUUGACACGGACUACCGGUGCUUUGUGAUGCGCUUUCAAAGAGUCGAGUUGUUUGGGAAUGCAGCUCAAAAUGGGUGGUAAAUUCCAUCUAAAGCUAAAUAUUGGCGAGAGACCGAUAGCGAACAAGUACCGUGAGGGAAAGAUGAAAAGCACUUUGGAAAGAGAGUUAAACAGUACGUGAAAUUGCUGAAAGGGAAACACUUGAAGUCAGUCGCGUUGUUCAGAACUCAGCCUGGCCUUGGCCUGGUGCAUUUUCUGAAUGACGGGCCAGCAUCAAUUUCGACUGUUGGAUAAAGGUUAGGGAAAUGUGGCUUCUUCGGGAGUGUUAUAGUCCUUGGCUGCAUACAAUGGUUGGGAUUGAGGAACUCAGCAUGCCUUUAUGGUCGGGGUUCGCCCACGUUCAUGCUUAGGAUGCUGGCGUAAUGGCUUUAAAUGACCCGUCUUGAAACACGGACCAAGGAGUCUAACAUGCCUGCAAGUGUUUGGGUGGAAAACCCGAGCGCGCAAUGAAAGUGAAAGUUGGGAUCCCUGUCGUGGGGAGCACCGACGCCCGGACCAGACCUUCUGUGACGGAUCCGCGGUGGAGCAUGUAUGUUGGGACCCGAAAGAUGGUGAACUAUGCCUGAAUAGGGUGAAGCCAGAGGAAACUCUGGUGGAGGCUCGUAGCGAUUCUGACGUGCAAAUCGAUCGUCAAAUUUGGGUAUAGGGGCGAAAGACUAAUCGAAC
rnacentral:rRNA from 1 species